rnacentral:rRNA from 1 species
UACGUAGGGUGCGAGCGUUGUCCGGAAUUAUUGGGCGUAAAGAGCUCGUAGGCGGUUUGUCGCGUCUGCUGUGAAAGACCGGGGCUUAACCCCGUGCCUGCUUCCGAUACGGGCAGACUAGAGGUAUGCAGGGGAGAACGGAAUUCCUGGUGUAGCGGUGAAAUGCGCAGAUAUCAGGAGGAACACCGGUGGCGAAGGCGGUUCUCUGGGCAUUACCUGACGCUGAGGAGCGAAAGUGUGGGGAGCGAACAGG